AGUCUCCAGCGCCUAGUCGUUGGGUAUACGGCGCGAUGUACAGAGCCGCGACACGCGACACGCAACCAGCAGUAACAGUAGCAGCAGCAGCACCAGCAGCAGUAGCAUUAGUAGCAGCAAAAGUUGUGCCAGCAACAACAGCAACACUUGCAACAGCAGCAGCAACAGCAGCCGGAAGACCAAACGACCAUUGAGCCGCCCUUUUAAGCCGUUGUUCGCGACGCGAAAAGAAAAAAUUUUAAAUCUAACAAAAUCAAAAAUGAAAUAAAGUAAAAAAAAAUCUCUAAAUUCUAACUUCAACUUAAACAGAAGUAAUCCUUUGACCUCCCAGCAUACCUUUUUGAGGCGGAAAAACGACACGAAUACACGGAAUCACAGCCCUAAUACCGCGCCAAAUGAGCUGGAAAUGUCCAAGUGGCCGGUGGCGAUGGUGGAUGGGCCAUCAAGGAAGCAACAACGGUGGCAAAUAAGCCAAAUUAACGAGAUCCCGGCCAAGAGUAGGCACAUCCCAUGCUCAUCCGAUCCGAGGAACAAUGCCCUGAAAGAAAGCCAUUCAAAUCGCCCAAGUAAUCGGCAAAUAAUCGAAUAGUCGCUCCGUUUCGUCGUUAUUCGGUUUUUCGUGUGUGCUUUCCUUUCGGUUUCGGUUUCGCGAGUGCUACCACUUCCGUUUCCGCCUUUGUCUAUUCGUGUCUGUGCGUGUCGUCUGUGCCGUUUGUCUUUGUCGCCUGGGUCUGGGCAGUUUCUCCAGAUAUAUCUAUCUUUAUUUUUUUUUUUUUGCUUUUUUUUCUUCCUCCAACUAUUCAAAGAUCGUAAGCGAGCGAUACUUAUUUUGGAAAACAAACUAAUAAGAAUCGCAAAAUUAUGCGAAUUAAGUCGGAU